rfam:Pseudomonas mendocina ymp, complete genome.
GAAAUGGAUGACUAGGGUUCCGAUCCGCGCAGGCGGGUGACUGGUCCGAGAGUCAUCGACCUCCAGUGAGGUUACACGGCGGGAUAAAAGCCCGGGAGAA